rnacentral:lncRNA from 1 species
UCUCAUCCGCUACUAACUACCGGAAGAAACGGGAUUACGAUAAAUCUCCUCAACCACACCAUAUGACAAAAAAAAAUCCCUGUUCGUCAGCGCAACGCCACCCUGUGCGGCCGAAUCAGUAUCAACGGCUGCCGCACCACCGUUGAUUAGUCUUUCAACAACAGUCGUUCCGCUCGAGCAGAUCCUUGUCGCUGUUGUACUUCACCACCGGGGGAGUUCGUGGCCGCCGCACUACCGUAUUUAUUCUCGUUGUUUGCGGCAUCUGAUAGGGAGCCGCUGUACCACCUCCAGAUUCGUUUUUUUACUGUUCGCCACUCUAAUCUAUUUUGUUCAUUCGAUUAUUGAGGUAAUCAGGGGAAACAGGGAUGAGUGAGAGGAAUAUGAAGUUAAAGUUUUUAAAGCUUUUAAUUUUUUUAUUUCAGUAAUUGAAUAAUAUAAGACUUAGGUUUUCUGGUGGAUUCGAGACUUUUAUUUCUUGGUUCUAUCUUUUAUUGAAAUUCUUUGGUUUUUUUAUAUCUGUAAUAGUGACAUGCCAGCCCGUUCUGGGUUGGGGUGUUACAAGAAUGGUGUGAGGUAAACGUUCAAGUACCAAUAAAAAAGAUGAAAACUUUGUAAGACCAUAUGGUUUAUUUUCUACAAUUCAAGAUUGUAUUGGUGCAUCCAUCGCAUGGCCCUAUCCAUUCAUCUCGGUAGUCCAUGAGGAUUGAGGACGCAUGAUGAUUCAGGAUUUUAUGCUUCUUAUUUCUUUAAUUGCUUUUAAUUUCUUAGUUAAAUGUUAAGACUUUAUGUUAGAUAAUGUUAUAACUUAUUUAUGGUUAGUGUUUUUGUUAUGAACAUGCUUAUUUGAAAUAUAAUGAAGUU